GACUGUUUCUUUUGUGCAUCAGAUUUUCCAUAUUCAGUAUUCUUUUUAUUACUGUUAAUUUUACAUAAAGUAACAGCAUUGCAGAAUUGUAAAACCAGAAGGCGGUCGAGGGGUUUAUUAAUCUCAUGGUUUUCAGACUGUGUACAGGGAAGAUCUGGGAUUCCAGAGAGGAGCCCUGGGCAGGAGGUGGAGGACAAGUGGAUGCAGGUCUCCCGUUGUACAGAUAACAAAACCGAGUCCCAGGGAGGGGCCGAGAACUUCCAAGCUGCUGUCUUCAAGCCACACGGAGUUGAGGUCAGAGUUUUCUGCUUUCUCGAUCGCCAGCUCGUCAGCCACGGGAGGAUGGACGUUACAUUUGCAGGGAUCUUACGGAUUUCUCUGUUAUGCUGCAGCUUGGACCAAAGAGCCCUCUCUUCUUCGCCUCUAUCGAUCUAAAUGUUUCCAUAUUUGUUUCCUUGUGGAGGCAUUUACUGCAUCAGACUUCCAAGAGAUGGGGCCUGGAGAUUUACAGAGCUCUUUGUGUGUUCCGAUGUACAGUCGGAGCUCAGAGACAUGGAAAGACAUGGAAAGAAGUGCCCUCUGAUGUCCGAAAGGGCCACAGCAUCAUUCUGCCUCUGACCUUGCAACACUGACUUACUGUGCAUGAAACACAGCCUCCUCGUCAGCAAAACUGGGGAAGUUAUCAUCGAAGCAGGCUUCCUGGAUUAUUACGAGGACGGAAUCCUCUGUGUAUGGGAAGCCCUUCUCCAUCUUCUUGCUCAUCCACGGGAGCAUGUGGCCUCCAAAAGCCGGCCAUUUUGGCCCAUGUUCCCAUUGAGUAGAACCGAGUCAUGUGACCCCAACCUAAUCGCAAGGGUGGCUGGGAAACACGGAAGCGCACACGGAAGUCUGCUAAGCACCAUUGCCUCCGCCAUCCUCCCCUAUUAGAAGGUAAGCUCCCUGAGGGAAGGGACUUGGUCAUCCUUGUCACCACAGUCUCCCAGCAACUGCCACGUGUUGAACACCUGCGAGGCUUGGAUGCAUGAAUAAAUGAAGACGGGCAUGAAUGACGCCUUCCUCUCUGAAAUUUUCGUCUAAUUCUCAGCAAGAUGCUCUGAUGUAAAGUUCAUCAUGAGGGCUAGAACCCUAUCUCGCUAAUGGCGUUUUCGGUCUUAUUAGCAUAGGGACUAAUCUUGACGUGCUUUGGAUUCACACUUUAACCCACCCCCAAUCCCUUGCGGAUGUCCUUCUCUUUGACCCUGUAUUUGGGAUAAUGACUCCCGUAUUUCCCAUAGUUCCCCAGAAGAAACACUGAUCACAAGACCCUAAUUUAUUCUGUGUGGUUUCUGUUCUUUCAUUAUUUUA